rnacentral:rRNA from 1 species
GAGAAGGCGGAAUUCUUGGAGUAGCGGUGGAAUGCGCAGAUAUCAAGAAGAACACCAAAAGCGAAGGCAGCCUUCUAGGCAGAUACUGACACUCAGGAGCGAAGGUGUGGGUAGCGAACAGGAUUAGAUACCCUGGUAGUCCACACAGUCAACGAUGAUCACUAAGUUUUGGUGAGAUUAUAAAUCAUCAGAGCUGCCGCAAAUGCAUUAAGUGAUCCGCCUGGGGAGUACGUCCGCAAGGAUGAAACUCAAAGGAAUUGACGGGGACCCGCACAAGCGGUGGAGUAUGUUCUUUAAUUCGAUUCAACGCGAAGAACCUUACCUGGGCUUGACAUCACCGAAAUCACCUUUAUACGGUGAGUGCCUCGAUUUAUCGAGGAAUCGUGUGACAGGUGCUGCAUGGCUGUCGUCAGUUCGUGUCGUGAGAUGUUGGGUUAAGUCCCGCAACGAACGCAACCCCUGUCUUUAGUUACCAGCAUUAAGUUGGGGACUCUAGAGAGACUGCCAAGGUGACAACUUGGAGGAAGGUGGGGACGACGUCAAGUCAUCAUGGUCCUUACGUCCAGGGCUAGAAACGUACUACAAUGGUUGGCACAGAGGGCAGCAACACAGCGAUGUGAAGCAAAUCCUUAAAACCAACCUCAGUUCGGAUUGGAGUCUGCAACUCGACUCCAUGAAGUUGGAAUCGCUAGUAAUC